GAUGAACGCUGGUGGCGUGCCUAAUACAUGCAAGUCGAGCGAACAGAUAAGGAGCUUGCUCCUUUGACGUUAGCGGCGGACGGGUGAGUUACACGUGGAUAACCUACCUAUAAGACUGGGAUAACUUCGGGAAACCGGAGCUAAGACCGGAUAACAUAUUGACCCGCAUGGUUCAAUAGUGAAAGGCGGCUUUGCUGUCACUUAUAGAUGGAUCCGCGCCGUAUUAGCUAGUUGGUAAGGUAACGGCUUACCAAGGCAACGAUCCGUAGCCGACCUGAGAGGCGGAUCGGCCACACUGGAGCUUAGACACGGUCCAGGCUCCUACGGGAGGCAGCAGUAGGGUAUCGGCCGCAAUAGGCGAAAGCCUGACGGAGCAACGCCGCGUGAGUGAUGAAGGUCUUCGGAGCGUAAAGCUCGGUUAUCAGGGAAGAACAAAUGUGUAAGGAACUGUGCACAUCUUGACGGUACCUGAUCAGAAAGCCACGGCUAACUACGUG
rnacentral:rRNA from 1 species